rnacentral:misc_RNA from 1 species
GAUCAUUGCACACACAAGUUGCAGCCAACCCGCGGCGAACGAACACAUUGUCCCCCUCGGUGGGUCGUGGCGCCUCGCGGCGUCGCGGCCGGCCAUCUCCCUUCGUCACGAACUCGUGGCGUCGGGUUUCCACGAUGCCUUCACCUUGACCGAAUGACUGAGUCCCUUAUUACUUCAUAGGAAUGAGUUCCGUCCCCCCUUGGCUUGGCUUGGCGUUGCCUUGGCUUGCGAAGGGGGUCGGCGCUGGUUACCUUGCGAGUUGUGAAACAUAACCCAAAACAACUCUCAGCAACGGAUAUCUUGGCUCUUGCAACGAUGAAGAACGCAGCGAAAUGCGAUACGUAGUGUGAAUUGCAGAAUUCCGCGAAUCAUCGAGUCUUUGAACGCAAGUUGCGCCCGAGGCUUGUCCAAGGGCAUUUCCGCUAGAGCGUCACCGCGCCCCCCACCGAUCCACUCCCGCUGGGAGUCGGGUCGAGUGAAAGUGGCCGUCCCGGUGGGUUCAGCCCUAAGGGUUGGCUGAAAUGGAGGGAAUCGGGCCGCCGUGGUGACACAGUCCGCGAUCGGGUGAUUUUCGAGCUCCUCCGGGAGCCCGGAAUUUUUCUAAGUGCGUGGCUGCGUCCCCCAGUUGGUUCGGGUUACCUCAUGCAGGUCGAGCGCGCCCCCGCGGCGCGCGUCACGCAUCAGA